rnacentral:rRNA from 1 species
GAUGAACGCUGGCGGCGUGCCUAAUACAUGCAAGUCGAGCGAACGGACGAGAAGCUUGCUUCUCUGAUGUUAGCGGCGGACGGGUGAGUAACACGUGGAUAACCUACCUAUAAGACUGGGAUAACUUCGGGAAACCGGAGCUAAUACCGGAUAAUAUUUUGAACCGCAUGGUUCAAAAGUGAAAGACGGUCUUGCUGUCACUUAUAGAUGGAUCCGCGCUGCAUUAGUUAGUUGGUAAGGUAACGGCUUACCAAGGCAACGAUGCAUAGCCGACCUGAGAGGGUGAUCGGCCACACUGGAACUGAGACACGGUCCAGACUCCUACGGGAGGCAGCAGUAGGGAAUCUUCCGCAAUGGGCGAAAGCCUGACGGAGCAACGCCGCGUGAGUGAUGAAGGUCUUCGGAUCGUAAAACUCUGUUAUUAGGGAAGAACAUAUGCGUAAGUAACUGUGCACAUCUUGACGGUACCUAAUCAGAAAGCCACGGCUAACUACGUG